rnacentral:rRNA from 1 species
UACGGGGGGGGCAAGCGUUGUUCGGAAUUACUGGGCGUAAAGGGCUCGUAGGCGGCCAACUAAGUCGGAUGUGAAAUCCCCAGGCUCAACUUGGGAAUUGCGCUCGAAACUACGAUGCUCGAGUAUGGCAGAGGAAGGUGGAAUUCCACGUGUAGCGGUGAAAUGCGUAGAGAUGUGGAGGAACACCGAUGGCGAAGGCAGCCUUCUGGGCCAAUACUGACGCUCAUGCACGAAAGCGUGGGGAGCAAACAGG